rnacentral:rRNA from 1 species
GAUGAACGCUGGCGGCGUGCCUAAUACAUGCAAGUCGAACGCUGGAGAUCUAGCUUGCUAGAUCGAAGGAGUGGCGAACGGGUGAGUAAUACAUAAGCAACCUACCCACGAAGACUGGGAUAAUCUCUGGAAACGGGGACUAAUACCGGAUAGGUAAUCGGAAGGCAUCUUCUGGUUAUUAAAGGUUAAAAACACUGGUGGAUGGGCUUAUGGCGCAUUAGUUAGUUGGUGAGGUAACGGCCCACCAAGACGAUGAUGCGUAGCCGGCCUGAGAGGGUGAACGGCCACAUGGGGACUGAGACACGGCCCAGACUCCUACGGGAGGCAGCAGUAGGGAAUUUUCGGCAAUGGGGGCAACCCUGACCGAGCAACGCCGCGUGAGUGAAGACGGCCUUCGGGUUGUAAAGCUCUGUUGUAAGGGAAGAACGGUAGAUAGAGAAUAUCUAAGUGACGGUACCUUACCAGAAAGCCACGGCUAACUACGUG